UGCAUGGCUGUCGUCAGCUCGUGCCGUGAGGUGUUCCCUUAAGUGGGGAAACGAGCGCAACCCCCGCCCAAUGUUAAAUAUUCAUUGGGGACGGUCCCCUCUUUUUGUCGAUAAUCGUAAGUUAAACAAAUUAGUUUAAGCUUUCAGGCGGAAAAGAAAUACCAUUGAAAGUAUUGUCGCUAAAAAGAGGGGAAGGAAGGAGGGGAAGACGUCAAGUCAGCACGGCCCUUAUGCCCUGGGCUACACACACACUACAAUGGCGAAAAACAACGGGUUGCAAGCCGGCAACGGCAAGCUAAUCCCUAAAAUUUCGUCUCAGUUCAGAUUGGGGGCUGAAACCCGCCCCCAUGAAGUUGGAAUUGGUAGUAAUCGCGGAUCAGCAAGCCGCGGUGAAUACGUUCUCGGGUCUUGUACACACCGCCCGUCAAGGCAGCAAAGUCGGUGGUAGACGAAUCCCCUCUUUU
rfam:Candidatus Levybacteria bacterium RIFCSPHIGHO2_01_FTLL_41_15 rifcsphigho2_01_scaffold_822, whole genome shotgun sequence.